UACAGAGGUCCCGAGCGUUGUUCGGAUUCACUGGGCGUAAAGGGUGCGUAGGUGGUGAGGAAAGUCGGAUGUGAAAUCUCCAAGCUUAACUUGGAAACGGCAUUGGAAACUACCUUGCUUGAGGUUUGGAGGGGGGACUGGAAUACUUGGUGUAGCAGUGAAAUGCGUAGAUAUCAAGUGGAACACCAGUGGCGAAGGCGAGUCCCUGGACAACACCUGACACUGAGGCACGAAAGCCGGGGGAGCAAACAGG
rnacentral:rRNA from 1 species